rnacentral:lncRNA from 1 species
ACUCGUGGGCAGGAAGCAAGGGCGGACCCCGAGAGAUGACUGAUUGUGGGGGUGGGGACCGUCUGCUCCUCCUAAUGGCUGGGGACCGUGCACGUCUGCGCGGGCCGGACCUGCUCUUCUCGGGAACUUGCGCGGGAGGAGGCCCGGAGCUGCGCCGCUUUACCCUCUGCUCCCCGGUGCCUAAAACGCACACGCAUCAAAGUCACAGGACGAGUUAGAGAGCCUGGCUCUGUUGCCCAGGCUGAAGUGAAGUGGCAUUAUCUUGGCUAACUGCAACUCCACCUCCCAGGUUCAAGUGAUCCUCCUGCCUCAGCCUCCUGAGUAGCUGGGAUUACAGGAGAAAGGCAGAGGGAGAUUUGAAACACAGAGGAGGUGAUGAGAAGACACAGCAGAAGAUAUCUGAAGACUGGAAAGAAUGCUGCAACCAACAGGAGAAGGAAAAGACAGAAAUGUGUUUUCCAUUUGGAGCAUCCAGAGGGAGCACAACCAUAUCAACACCUUGAUUUUGAUCCAGUGACAUUGAUUUUGGACUUGUGGCCUCCAGAACUUUUAGAGAAUAAAUUUGCAUUGUUUUAAGCCAACAGGUUGGUGGAAAUUUUUUACAGCAGCCACAGGAAGCAAACACAGACUCCUAACUGGUGCUUAGUCCUAGAAUAUCAGUUUCUGUUCCACUUCUGGAUCUCAUAAUUGCAUCUCAGACAUCAACACUGACUUCAUAUUCUUAAUGCACCAAUUCUACCAUUUCUUCAGGCUGCAAACAGAGAAAAACUUAUUUAAGCAUUCCAGAAUUGACCCAAUAGAAGACUCUCCAGAAAAGACUGCAUGGUCUCUGAAGCAGCAUGAUCAGCAUGACUGGCUGCAUCUGGGCUCCACCGUUUGCCACUUCAGACAGGUCCUUAGCCUCUUAGAGGUUCAUUUUCCUUGCUGUAGCCCGGAGUAAGAAUGUUUAGCCUACAAGAUUUAUUUUGAGGCAUCAAUGAAUCACUAUGUGAGCCUCACACAGUGUCUGGCACUGAUAUUACAAAAUAUGGUUGAUCUUGCCAUCCUUGUUAUUGUCCUGGUGGGGAUUCCUCUCUGUUGAAGAUACGGAGCCUCUAAAAAUGAGUGGCAGAGGCUCCCAGCUCAGGAUCCUUGUCCAGGUCCUAAAGAUCCUCCACUCUGCUUGUCACUCUGUUCAUUAUGUUUGCAUGGCCACCACGGUCAACACUACUGCGGCCUACCUCAAGUUCUCAUGCCUCACUCUCUGAGCUCAUGAGGACACAAGGAUCCUUUGGCAACACAUUAACUACACUCUGUGGCCAUCCCUUGACUUCUGAGAGGAUGUUUCCCUCCUCUCAAUCAAAAGCUCUCUUCCCUCCUGGGCAAGAUCCUUGCAUGCACCCAGCACCCUCACACCUGGUGCCCUCACACCCAGCACUCUCACACGUGGUGCCCUCACACCCAGCACCCUCACACCCAGCACCCUCACACCUGGUGCCCUCACACCCAGCACCCUCACACCUGGUGCCCUCACACCCAGCACCCUCACACCUGGUGCCCUCGCACCCAGCACCCUCACACCUGGUGCCCUCGCACCCAGCACCCUCACACCUGGUGCCCUCGCAACCAGCACCCUCACACCUGGUGCCCUCACACCCAGUGCCCUCACACCCAGCACUCUCACACUUGCACUGUCCUCAUCCCAACUCUGUGGUUCCUCUGGGGAAUCACUGUGGAAUCCCUCAUGGGAGGAUGUUUUCAAAAGAAACAACAGCCCAAUGAAGGGUAUUUGAGGAUGAGAAGCAGGAAAGAAGUCAGUGGGUGGCUGAGUUGUGUCCAGGUUUUGCGUGGCCAUGGAAAAUCAGGUGAAGGACAUUAAAUAUCUUGCAGUGGCUUCUCCAUUAGGAGCAUGAAAUGAGGAAAGGGGCUGUCCUCACAGGCCAGCCAAGAGGGAUGCCUAUGCCAAACAGAAAGACUGACAGUAAACAGAAUCCAGGAUGACAUGACUGAGGUAUGGUGUGCAGGGCAUGGCCCAGGGAGGAGGGUAGAUAAGUAAGCCUGGGUGCACCUUCAGAGGAAGAAAUAACAGAGGCUGCAGGCGAGAGAGUUACAAGGAAGGAGGAGCAGGAAGACACGAGAAAAAUUCAGAUAAACUCAACAUCUCCAGCCUGGGGGAAACGUGAGAGGGUGGUAUGAAGAUACACACGAUGCAUGUUGCUUAGUGAAAGCAGCCAGUCGGAAAAGGCUACGUAGUGAAUGACCCCAACUAUGACAUUCUGAAAAAGGCAAAACUAUGGAGACAGGAUAAAGAUCAGUGGUUGCCAGUGAGGCAGGAGAAUAGGGUCUGGGGGCAGGGAGCCUAAGGCUGAUUCAUGCUGACUUCAUGAACGGAAUCAAAAGGAAAACCCUAAAUUUCCAUGCCCACGUAACAAAAGGAUCAGAGGCUACUCCCUUUGCAACUCCCCCCAACUUUCUGUGUUGCAGAUGAAAAAUGGAAAGUGCCUCGGAUUGGUCCCCUCCUGCAACCAGUCAGACAUCUGCAUAGAGCGUAACUUUGUAACUUCACUUCAGCCUCUGCUUGGUCACCUUCCACAACCAAUCAGACUGGUCAUGGGCCACUAUUUCAUAGGGUGUAAACCAAGUGACCAAUGGGAAACAUCUAGAGGGUAUUUAAACCCCAGAAAAUUCUGCGACCAGUGCUUUUGAGCCUUGCUUGGGCCUGCUCCCACUCUGUGAAGUGCAUUUUUGUUUCAAUACAGCUAUGCUUUUGUUGCUUC